AACCGGGCUUUAGGCCCAGCCCCUUUGAAAUUAGUCGGAUGCACGAAGCCCAGCCCACAAGCAUGUGAUGCGAGACCGAGCGGCGUCGUUUGGAUGAUUGGUUAAUUCCCCUUUUCCGGAUGCACUGUUCUUCGUCUUCGCGUUUUCUCCCCCACUGCUCUGCAUUUCCGCAUCUUACUCAACCGUGCGCACCAACCCAUUACUCUAGCAGUUGAUUUUCAUCUCUUACCACGCUCAAGAAUCGGUUUCGCUCACUUCUGCAGACUUUUCAAUCGGUUCCUCUCAUCUGUUUUUCCUCUUCUUCAUCUCUUCACCGUGCGCUCAACUCAAGGUUUUGGAACUUCAAAUUGUAUUUCCACUACAAUUUCGUUCAGCAUCUGAUCAAAUUUUGGUAAUUUCUUCCUUCAAUCCCGCUUUUCUCUCUUUCUUUUUAUGGUUUUUCUUCUUUCUUUUCCCUGUUCUUCUGGUUUUGCUCGCGCGGCUUCUCUUUAUUUUGGUUCUGCUCGAUUUUGCUCACACACACAAACCACUCCACUUUGGCUUGCCGUCGCCCACACUCAACUUCUCAAGCCUUCCUUGUGCAGGUCACAUUCUCUUUAACUAGAGAUUGCUGUGAAUUUCUUUUUGGGGCGUGGAUUGCAGUGAAUUGCAGCGGCUCAUUCGAAGUAGUUUGAAGUUUUGUGAUUUCUUUUGGGAUAAGUUCCCCGAAGCUUUUGGUGGUUUUGAAUGUUAGGUUUGGACUAUGAAAUUGUAAUAGAGUUACUGAUUUGAUGGUGGUUGAGUAUGAUGGAAUUCUUGAUGUUGAGGAGUAUGGUUUUGGAUGGAUUUGUGAGACUGUUUUGGACUAUUAUUUGAGACUAUUUAGUGUAAAUUGAUGGGUGUUUUGAGCUAGUUGUUUUGAAUUUUUAUGCAAGUCUUAAAUUGUUGAGUGAAUAAAAUAUUGAUGCGGACACUGAAAACUUUAUUUGAAGGUUGGAGGUGAAGUUUGGUUUGGGUAUGUUAUAAUCUUUGGGGUUGUUGUCGUUGGUUUUGGAAAUAAUUUUGGUUGAUUUGGUGUUGAUAAAAGGUGGUUGUUUUGGAUUUUAAAUGCGAAUGGUUUGAGGAGAGAGCUAUUCGGGUUUAAUUGUUAUGAUAGUUAUUGAGUUGUGAAGGGACUGUUUUGAUUUAUUUAUCAAUAAAUAGUAGCCUACUAGAUUGGUUAUUAAAUGUUGGAUAUAUGUUUUUGUUUAGGUGGUGUUACUACUAGAGUUCUGACUCAAGGUGUUGAUAAUACGAAGAAGUCAGAUGACAUUGAUGGUUCAGCUGAGGAUCAGUAUUAGAGUUUAUGGAGAAGAUUAGCAGUGAAUGGUUGUUGGGUAUCCCGUAGUAUUAGUGUUGAUGUUAGAAGUUGUUUAUAUUUUCUUAAGUUUGCUUCAGUGGAUUUAGACGGUUUAUGGAGACUUAUGUUAAUGUUACAUUAUUUCUAGUUUGUUAUUUGAGACAUGAAGAAGAGUUGAUUUUA